rnacentral:rRNA from 1 species
AGUGAACGCUGGCGGUAGGCCUAACACAUGCAAGUCGAACGGCAGCACAGUAAGAGCUUGCUCUUACGGGUGGCGAGUGGCGGACGGGUGAGGAAUACAUCGGAAUCUACUUUUUCGUGGGGGAUAACGUAGGGAAACUUACGCUAAUACCGUAUACGACCUACGGGUGAAAGCAGGGGAUCUUCGGACCUUGCGCGAUUGAAUGAGCCGAUGUCGGAUUAGCCAGUUGGCGGGGUAAAGGCCCACCAAGGCGACGAUCCGUAGCUGGUCUGAGAGGAUGAUCAGCCACACUGGAACUGAGACACGGUCCAGACUCCUACGGGAGGCAGCAGUGGGGAAUAUUGGACAAUGGGCGCAAGCCUGAUCCAGCCAUACCGCGUGGGUGAAGAAGGCCUUCGGGUUGUAAAGCCCUUUUGUUGGGAAAGAAAAGCAGCAGGUUAAUACCCCGCUGUUCUGACGGUACCCAAAGAAUAAGCACCGGCUAACUUCGUG